UACAGAGGUCUCAAGCGUUGUUCGGAUUCAUUGGGCGUAAAGGGUGCGUAGGUGGCGCCAUAAGUCAGGUGUGAAAUCUCGGGGCUCAACUCCGAAACUGCACUUGAUACUGUGGUGCUCGAGUACUGGAGAGGAGAUUGGAAUUUACGGUGUAGCAGUGAAAUGCGUAGAUAUCAGGAGGAAUACCGGUGGUGUAGACGGCUCUCUGGACCGCCACUGACGCUGAGACACGAAAGCGUGGGUAGCAAACAGG
rnacentral:rRNA from 1 species